GGAUGUGAGGGCUAUCUGGCUGCAACAUCUAUCAUCCCAUUGAUCGCCUGGGCUGAUUUGGCUGAUCUGGCUAGCUAGGCGGGUAUCCCCUUCCUCCUUCACAGCUCCAUGUGUGUCCCUCCUGAAGCUGUGUGCUCCGUAGAGAGAAUGGCAUUCCCUGAAUACAGUACAGGAGUAGUCGCACUCCACUGCUAGAACCUCCAAACAAGCUCUCAAGGUCCUAUUUCCUCUUCUCUUAUUUCUUUCUGUCCUAUCAAUAAAAAAUGAAAGAAAGAAGGAAGAGAAGAAGGCAGGCUUGCUCCCCUGGUGCCAUUCAUGGUGCUCCCA
rfam:Erinaceus europaeus unplaced genomic scaffold scaffold00009, whole genome shotgun sequence